rnacentral:rRNA from 1 species
GAUAAACGCUGGCGGCGCACAUAAGACAUGCAAGUCGAACGAACUUAACUCAUUCUUUUAGAUUGAGAGCGGUUAGUGGCGGACUGGUGAGUAACACGUAAGCAACCUGCCUAUUAGAGGGGAAUAACAGUGAGAAAUCAUUGCUAAUACCGCAUAUGCUAACAGUAUCGCAUGAUACAGUUAGGAAAGGAGCAAUCCGCUAAUAGAUGGGCUUGCGUCUGAUUAGAUAGUUGGUGGGGUAACGGCCUACCAAGUCGACGAUCAGUAGCCGGACUGAGAGGUUGAACGGCCACAUUGGGACUGAGAUACGGCCCAGACUCCUACGGGAGGCAGCAGUCGGGAAUAUUGCGCAAUGGGGGAAACCCUGAUGCAGCAACGCCGCGUGAGGGAAGAAGGUUUUCGGAUUGUAAACCUCUGUUUUUAGUGAAGAACAAAUGACGGUAGCUAAAGAGGAAGCCACGGCUAACUACGUG